rnacentral:rRNA from 1 species
UACGAAGGGGGCUAGCGUUGUUCGGAUUUACUGGGCGUAAAGCGCACGUAGGCGGAUCGAUCAGUCAGGGGUGAAAUCCCAGGGCUCAACCCUGGAACUGCCUUUGAUACUGUCGAUCUGGAGUAUGGAAGAGGUGAGUGGAAUUCCGAGUGUAGAGGUGAAAUUCGUAGAUAUUCGGAAGAACACCAGUGGCGAAGGCGGCUCACUGGACUGGUAUUGACGCUGAGGUGCGAAAGCGUGGGGAGCAAACAGG